rnacentral:ncRNA from 1 species
AAUAAAGCUUUGAAAAGAAGAGUACAUGUCACAGACGUUCAAAGAGAGCCCUGAUUGCUGAAAAAGGGUAACGGAAAUGAGAUGGAAGAUGGUCUUAGAGCAGAGUAGGUGAGCCUUGCAAACUUACUACGGGGGUGCCCGUUACAGCACAACGGUAUACGGGCAGGAUUAUGAUGAAAGAACGAUGACCCAAGUACUGGUAAAGGUUGUUAUUGUGAGAUAGCAGCAAAUCAAGGUGGUAACACGGAAGUUUCAGCUUUCGUCCUUUUG